GACGAACGCUGGCGGCGUGCCUAAUACAUGCAAGUAGAACGCUGAAGCGAGGAGCUUACUCUUCUUGGAUGAGUUGCGAACGGGUGAGUAACGCGUAGGUAACCUGCCUUGUAGCGGGGGAUAACUAUUGGAAACGAUAGCUAAUACCGCAUAACAAUGGAUGACACAUGUCAUUUAUUUGAAAGGGGCAAUUGCUCCACUACAAGAUGGACCUGCGUUGUAUUAGCUAGUAGGUGAGGUAAUGGCCCACCUAGGCGACGAUACAUAGCCGACCUGAGAGGGUGAUCGGCCACACUGGGACUGAGACACGGCCCAGACUCCUACGGGAGGCAGCAGUAGGGAAUCUUCGGCAAUGGGGGCAACCCUGACCGAGCAACGCCGCGUGAGUGAAGAAGGUUUUCGGAUCGUAAAGCUCUGUUGUAAGUCAAGAACGGGUGUGAGAGUGGAAAGUUCACACUGUGACGGUAGCUUACCAGAAAGGGACGGCUAACUACGUG
rnacentral:rRNA from 1 species